rnacentral:lncRNA from 1 species
GAAUGUUCUAAGGCAAAUAUUUUUUUGAAAAUCCUGGCUUAAGCUUUUCAAAUCCACCAUCUACUAAUUACAUCUACAGUUUCUUAGUCCUGCGAGCUUUCGAAACAUCAGCUAAUGGCCAGUUUUCUCAAAGUGUGAACUUUUUACCAUCUUAUCAGAAUCAUCUGAGCGUGUUUGUUAAAAAUGCAAAUUCCUGACCCACACGCCAAGUCUGCUGAAUUGGGAUCACCGGAAACUCUAAUGGGAAGUGGGACCUUGAGAGAGAAUUUUGAGUGUCCCAUGCUGGAUUCCUGUCUACACCCAAGGCCAAGAACUCAGGACUCAAGAAAUUUCUUUCAUCUGGCC